rnacentral:rRNA from 1 species
UGGGGAACCUGCCCCAUAGUCUGGGAUACCACUUGUAAACAGGUGCUAAUACCGGAUAAGAAAGCAGAUCGCAUGAUCAGCUUUUAAAAGGCGGCGUAAGCUGUCGCUAUGGGAUGGCCCCGCGGUGCAUUAGCUAGUUGGUAAGGUAAAGGCUUACCAAGGCGAUGAUGCAUAGCCGAGUUGAGAGACUGAUCGGCCACAUUGGGACUGAGACACGGCCCAAACUCCUACGGGAGGCAGCAGCC